rnacentral:rRNA from 1 species
AUCUUCGGAUAUGAGUAGAGCGGCGGACGGGUGAGUAACGCGUAGGAAUCUACCUAGUAGAAGGGGAUAGCCCGAGGAAACUCGGAUUAAUACCGUAUACCUCCUUCGGGAGAAAGAAGGCCUCUCUUUGAAGCUUUCGCUAUUAGAUGAGCCUGCGUAAGAUUAGCUUGUUGGUGAGGUAAAGGCUCACCAAAGCGACGAUCUUUAGCGGGUCUGAGAGGACGAUCCGCCACAUUGGGACUGAGACACGGCCCAGACUCCUACGGGAGGCAGCAGUGGGGAAUAUUGGACAAUGGGCGCAAGCCUGAUCCAGCCAUACCGCCUGUGUGAAGAAGGCCCUAGGGUUGUAAAGCACUUUAAGUUGGGAAGAAAAGUUAUUGGUUAAUACCCAAUGACCGUGACAUUACCUUCAGAAUAAGGACCGGCUAAUUCCGUGCCAGCAGCCGCGGUAAUACGGAAGGUCCAAGCGUUAAUCGGAAUUACUGGGCGUAAAGCGCGCGUAGGUGGUUUAUUAAGUUGGAUAUGAAAUCCCCGGGCUCAACCUGGGAACUGCAUCCAAAACUAAUUCACUAGAGUACGAUAGAGGGAGGUAGAAUUCACAGUGUAGCGGUGGAAUGCGUAGAUAUUGUGAAGAAUACCAAUGGCGAAGGCAGCCUCCUGGAUCUGUACUGACACUGAGGUGCGAAAGCGUGGGUAGCGAACAGGAUUAGAUACCCUGGUAGUCCACGCCGUAAACGAUGUCAACUAGCUGUUGGAAAACUAUGUUUUUCAGUGGCGCAGCUAACGUAGUAAGUUGACCGCCUGGGGAGUACGGCCGCAAGGCUAAAACUCAAAUGAAUUGACGGGGACCCGCACAAGCGGUGGAGCAUGUGGUUUAAUUCGAUGCAACGCGAAAAACCUUACCUAUACUUGACAUACUUGGAAUACUUUGUAAUGAAGUAGUGCCUUCGGGAACCAAGAUACAGGUGCUGCAUGGCUGUCGUCAGCUCGUGUCGUGAGAUGUUCCGUUAAGUCGGAUAACGAGCGCAACCCUUACCCUUAUUUGCCAGCGAUUCGGUCGGGAACUAUAAGGGG